rnacentral:rRNA from 1 species
CCUACGGGAGGCUGCAGUAAGGAAUAUUGGUCAAUGGACGCAAGUCUGAACCAGCCAUGCCGCGUGAAGGAUUAAGGUCCUCUGGAUUGUAAACUUCUUUUAUAUGGGACGAAAAAAGGGUAUUCUUACCCGUCUGACGGUACCAUAUGAAUAAGCACCGGCUAACUCCGUGCCAGCAGCCGCGGUAAUACGGAGGGUGCAAGCGUUAUCCGGAUUCACGGGGGCGAAAGCGUGCGUAGGCGGGAAGGGAGAAAUCCUAGAGCUUAACUCUAGAACUGCCAUUGAUACUAUCUGUCUUGAAUAUUGUGGAGGUAAGCGGAAUAUGUCAUGUAGCGGUGAAAUGCUUAGAUAUGACAUAGAACACCUAUUGCGAAGGCAGCUUACUACGCAUAUAUUGACGCUGAGGCACGAAAGCGUGGGGAUCAAACAGGAUUAGAUACCCGGGUAGUC